UGGUUUUUUGGGUUUUUUUGGUGAUUAGUUGAGCUCCUUCUCCCCAUAGGAUUUAUUCCUUUUUUGUGUCCUGGGUGUUUUGUAGCUGCUAAACUUGGGGGAGAGGAGAUUUCCUGGGGGGUUUGGGGAUGGAGGAAUCCCCAGGAAGCAAAAAAAAACCUGAAUUAAUUCACCUCUGAUGUCACUGUGGGAGGAAUGGAAGUGGAAAAUCACCAGACUGGGGAGGCCACACUGAAAUUCCAAGGGUGGAAUCUCAGGAGAGACCCACAGAGGGGUCAGGGAGGGAUCAGCAUCUCCAGGAGGAGGAGCUUCUUCAAACCAAAAAUGGGAAAAUUCUGGAAAAGAGGGGAUUUGGUGAAUCCCCCUCCCACAGGAGCUGCAGCAGCGAUGAUGGUCUGGCCAUGGGGGGUGGGGGUAAAUUCCUUUUCAUUCUGGAUUCCUCCUGGAUUUCUCACUCCAGCCAAGGCUCAGGCACGGAGCUGCUGCAGGAUGUUGGAAAUCUGACUGAAAAUCGGGAUCUUCAGGCAGAAAAUGUGUUUUCUGUGAGGUUUUUUUUUGUCCUUCUGAAUUCCAGGUGGAACUGUCAGCAGUGAAUUUGUACAGAUCCUUCCCCAAAGGAACUCCCCUCCCUCUCACCUCCUUUCACUUUAAUACUUGAUCCAAUAAUAUUUUAACAAUUUAAUUUUAUUUUAAUGGUAGGAAUUUCAGAGGUGCAAAGGCUCUUUCUAAAUUUAUUGACUUGGAGAAAAAAAAAAAAAAAAACAAAAAAAACCAACAAAAAAACCCCCAUAAAUACUCAUCUUGAUCUAGAUGAAUUCCUUAUUUUUGCACCAGAACCCCCAAUUUUUUUGCAGUAUAAAGUGCACUUUUUCAUGAAAAAAAAGUCUUGUAUUCCUGUCUGAUGUGCUGAAAGGGAAAUUCUGCCAAAACUCCAGAGCUGAGGGUGUUGUUAAUUCCUCGAGGUGUUCACUGAAACCUGGGAGCUGCUUCUGCUCAGCCUCUGGAGACAAAACAGGGGAGGAAAUUCCUCCCCGCAGGCAGGAAUGGGGGGUGGGAACUGAAACCUGCAGUGCCCUUCCAGAACAUUCCGUGCCGCUUCCAAAUUCAGGGUCUGGACUGCACCACCCCUUCAGCCACCGGUGUUUACUUGGAUGGUCAGGGAGUGCCUUGGCCCGUGCUGGGCUCACCUCUGGGGCUGGAAACCCCUGGAUUGGGCUGGAAUCCCCUGGAUUGGGGGUGGGAAAAUCGGGCUGGAGUCCCCUGGAUUGGUGGGGGUCCCCUGGAUUGGUGGGGAUGCCCUGGAAUGGUGGGGAUGCCCUGGAUUGGUGGAAACCCCUGGAUUGGGGGUGGGAAAAUUGGGCUGGAAACCCCUGGAUUGGUGGGGAUCCCCCUGGACUGGUGGGAAUGCCCUGGAUUGGUGGGAAAUCCCUGGACUGGUGGGGAUCCCCUGGAUUGGGGGGAUCCCCCUGGAUUUUAUCCCGGGGUGCUCCUUGGAGGCUGCGCUGAGUGCCCCAGGUGUGCCACAAAAACAUGGACCUGCCACAGGCAGCAAAGGGAAUUCACUGCUCCAUCCUCGUUUCUGGUUGGGUUAACCCAAAUCCUGAGGGUUUUAUGUUCCAUCCCCAUUUUUGGUUUGGUUAACCCAAAUCCUGAGGGUUUUAUGUUCCAUCCCCAUUUUUGGUUUGGUUAACCCAAAUCCUGAGGGUUUUGUGUUCCAUCCCCAUUUUUGGUUGGGUUAACCCAAAUCCUGAGGGUUUUACUGCUCCAUCCUCACUUUUGCUUGGGUUGACACAAUUCCUGAGGGUUUUGCUGUUCCAUCCCCAUUUUUGGUUGGGUUAACCCAAAUCCUGAUGGUUUUGUGUUCCAUUCCCAUUUUUGGUUGGGUUAUCCCAAUUCCUGAGGGUUUUUGCUGUCUCCUCUUGGGUGAGCUGUUUGUCCUGACCCUUUCCCAGCCCUGGGGUCCUCCGUGUGUCCCUCCUGAAGCCCCCCAAUGUCCGUGUGGGCAUCUCAGGUGUCACCUCGUGCUUGCCAGGACUCCUGGAGCACCAGGCCCAGCCCUUUGGGGUUUCUGUCGUGUUCUUGCAGUGCCUUGUAAAUCCCAACAAUCCCGUGGCCCCGAGGGGCUGCGGGGUCCCAGCUUGUACUGCCAGACUGGACUUUGUAACUGAGGAUUUGAACCCCUGUUUCAAAGGAAAUAAAGAGUUGAACUCUG